CCGUUUUCAGGCUCUCAACAGGAUCGCCUCUGGGAAGAACAAGCUGAAGCAUAUUCAAGUGGAGGACGAGGAACCCCGAUUCGAAACGAGGACGCCGCUCAAUCCGCUGCGUCCAGCUCCCCCUCUCCUCCUGGUGAGCCUACCUCUUCCGACGAUCAGAUCCAACCAGCUGCAGGACCAAUCCAUAAUGGUCACGGUGUGGUGAGCACUGCAAAUGAAUCAGGGGAGGAUGACAGCCCACACGAGCCAAAUGGGAACGUCAAAGGUAAGCUUCAUACGCCGUUACGGAGCCUACUUCUGGAGGACGCCUCGAAAUGUACCGCUGAUGUUGAUCCCAUUACGCCUAAUGGUACUACCACUAGUAGCCCUUCAUUCAUAAGACGAUUGUUCCGAGUCAUGAGCACGCCCUCCCGUGCUGGGGAGAGAGAAGGUAUGAGCCAAGCUAAGCUGAAGAAGUCGUCGUCUAUGUGGGCG
rnacentral:lncRNA from 1 species